rnacentral:lncRNA from 1 species
GGCAGGCUUGCCUGAGUCCAUUCACCUUCCUUCUCUUGCAAAUGUACAACUGUGUGUCACCUGAUGAUCCUGGGUCUCUCUUCCUCCUCCUCUGGCCCUCACCCCUUCCUCUAACUUGGAGGCACUAAGCUUUCUGCCUCAGGGUCUUGCCAGAACUUUUCUGCUUCCAGCAUCUCUGCUCUUCUCCAACUCUGCCAGCCACCAGGUUUCCACAAAAAUGUCCAGAAGACAGUCCUCAGCCCCAGCGUAGCUUGAGGACUCAUCCAAACUCACAACCUGUUCGGCCUUUGGGACACUUUCCCCAGUUAUAAUUCACAACUAUAAUAAAACAUAAUUACUGUGUAUUUUGUUGCUGUCUAAGGUUCUUCUCCCCUCCUGUAUCUACAAAAUGCUGAGUAGAUGGUUGUAUACAUGUACAUUGUACAUAUACACACACCUUAGAAGUUGGUGUUCAUUUUCUACCAAUCUUCCCCCUCUUGCCUUUGUCAGCAACAAAACAAAACAAAACAAAAAACAAAAAAAAAAAAAUCUUAAGACUGCUAAGUGCUCCUAUCCAUUUAGUGCCUUUUCUGUGGGAGCCACAGCCCACUUUCAGUAACUGUGUACACAUUUCAGACUUCAGCUGGGAAUGCCUAGAUCAGCACAGAGAGUGCCUGCCCACCUGAAGAUCCCGUUGGCACCUUGCCUGAGCGGCAAUGAACUCAGGACUGAGCAGAGUCCAUUGGCCCUGAAAUUCCUCUUACUCACAGCCUUUACAGUAUCGGGCUGUUGUUCACUUUCAAUCCCUUCAGCUCCUCUAUAGAGUAGAGAUCAGACGUUGUCUCCCUGGGAUGUUCACAGAAAUGCAUUUCUGUCUGGGAGCCACCAAUGAGUUCUGGUGUCUCCUUGCUGCUGCAGAGGGCAAUGGGAGGUUGGGUGACACUAGGUGCCCUCCCAGACACUAGUGGUCAGCCAUAGGGUCAGUCACCACUACCAGGGCUCCCAGAAAGCUGCCUGGAUUGGGUCUGCCAAGGUCCCAGGAGAGAAACAGCCAAUAGGAGAGGCUCCUUCGGCAGUGGAAAGCCUGUGCUCAGUCAUGGCAGGAUUUUUGCAGGACAGAACACAUACCCAACGGGUUCUUAGGGGCAUCAGUGGCCCAAGAUGCCAGCAGAAUCUCGUCCAGGUCCUCUUCUGACUUAGUGUUUGCACAUCAACUUUCCUUCUGAAAUCUAAGGACGGGGCAACUGCUGGGAAGAAUUUGAGACUACCGUUCUCUUUCACGUGAAGAUAUCAAUGACUAGACUCUGUGAAUGCUCCUCUGUUAUGCUGGGAAUCAAGAACAACACCUCAUGGAUUCUUCUCUCUGUGUACCGCAGAAAGCUGUUAAGAUGCAUGUAUUGAUGAGAGAUGGCCAGCAAACGUGUGGACAGUGAAUGAGCCAAUAAACAAUACAUAGAUCCCUCUCUGCAGAGAGAGGUUGGCUUUGAUUCUGCUUGGAGACAGGGGCUUGUACUGAGUCAGGCCUCUCAGAGUCUCAAUCAUAAAACACACUGAUUUUGGCAUUUAGUUAUUGGGGUGUUUCAAAAGGAUGAAGGCUUAUAGAGCCCCAAAUAUGUAUGGAGGGAUGCACACACCCAGUCCCCAGCCACCAAGCUGGCUUCUCCCUGUCAUCUCACCAGGCUGGCUCCUAGUGGCUGCUGAUCUCCUGGUUCCUGCAGCAGAUAUUGAGGGGUGAUUAGGCUUGCCUCUUUUCUCCUAAGAAUGGUUCCUCUUUCACUUCUGCUUUGAGGUGAGACGCACAUGCGUCAAGCCCUGCAGGAGCACCCCUGUCCCUUCAGCACCACACACCCACAGCAGUCUGUGUGGUACCCAAGGAUAGGAGAGACUGGCGGCUUGGCCCUGACCACAGCGCCAUGACCAGCCAGCCCCAAGACUUGUCUUCCCCUUCUCUCUAGGAGGCUGCUGGCCAUGAGAGCUCCCUCAGGGCUUUCCACCCUCCUUUGCCUGUCUCUCAUCCUCUCUAGGAAGGAGAAUCCUAAGGCUGAAGAUUGCUCUUUUCUGCCAUGUGAGCUUAAUUUCCUCAGGCAUUAUUACCUCAAUACUUGUCAUUGGCUGGAGACUCAGUUUCCCCUAGGAGAGAUAAGGGUCCUAUUACCCAGCCAGCUCCCAAGCGUUGUCCUCUGGUUCUAACAGGACUUUGGGUAUGCCCUUGUCUGGGGGUCAAUACACAGGCAGCUCUGGAUGUUCUCUUUCUUCUACUUUCUUUCUCUUUCUCUUUUUCUCUUGUCCUUUCCCAAGCUUCAGACUGGUUGGUGAUGGAGUUCUUUAUGCCCUUGCCUGACACAUUAAAAAUGGAGCAUUUGGCUUCCAAGGAAGGCAUACGCACAGCAGCCAGCUUGGGCCAGGGAUGUAACUCAGUGGCAGGGUGCUUGCUUAACCAUGUGCAAGGCCCUGGGUUCGAACCUCAACAUGAUAAAAAAAAAUUGCAAGCACUCUGCACCACCCAGACAGCUACGCAAAGCUAACUGCAAGGGUCCUCGCUAUGACCCUUGAUGGAGUCCAGAGAGGCAGCAUCCCAUCCCUAGAUCUAAUGCAUCGCAUGGUGAACAGACUGCUCAGGAUUGCACAGGUAGCUAGCUGGCAGGAAUAUUAGGGAGAACAGCAGUGCUUUGAGCAGGGUGUGGAGCCACAUGCCUGGAAUUUCAGCACUCUGGAGGCAGAGCAAGAAGAUUAUGGGUUUGAAGCUAUCCUGGGCCUGAAGGACCCUGAUUCAAU